rnacentral:rRNA from 1 species
UUUUUAUGAGAGUUUGAUCCUGGCUCAGGACGAACGCUGGCGGCGUGCCUAAUACAUGCAAGUCGAACGCUUCUUUUUCCACCGGAGCUUGCUCCACCGGAAAAAGAGGAGUGGCGAACGGGUGAGUAACACGUGGGUAACCUGCCCAUCAGAAGGGGAUAACACUUGGAAACAGGUGCUAAUACCGUAUAACAAUCRAAACCGCAUGGUUUUGAUUUGAAAGGCGCUUUCGGGUGUCGCUGAUGGAUGGACCCGCGGUGCAUUAGCUAGUUGGUGAGGUAACGGCUCACCAAGGCCACGAUGCAUAGCCGACCUGAGAGGGUGAUCGGCCACAUUGGGACUGAGACACGGCCCAAACUCCUACGGGAGGCAGCAGUAGGGAAUCUUCGGCAAUGGACGAAAGUCUGACCGAGCAACGCCGCGUGAGUGAAGAAGGUUUUCGGAUCGUAAAACUCUGUUGUUAGAGAAGAACAAGGAUGAGAGUAACUGUUCAUCCCUUGACGGUAUCUAACCAGAAAGCCACGGCUAACUACGUGCCAGCAGCCGCGGUAAUACGUAGGUGGCAAGCGUUGUCCGGAUUUAUUGGGCGUAAAGCGAGCGCAGGCGGUUUCUUAAGUCUGAUGUGAAAGCCCCCGGCUCAACCGGGGAGGGUCAUUGGAAACUGGGAGACUUGAGUGCAGAAGAGGAGAGUGGAAUUCCAUGUGUAGCGGUGAAAUGCGUAGAUAUAUGGAGGAACACCAGUGGCGAAGGCGGCUCUCUGGUCUGUAACUGACGCUGAGGCUCGAAAGCGUGGGGAGCAAACAGGAUUAGAUACCCUGGUAGUCCACGC